rnacentral:tRNA from 1 species
GUUUAUAUAAUUUAAAUAAGAUAUUAGACUGUGACUCUGACCAUGAGAGUUAAAACCUCUUUAUAAACC